rnacentral:tRNA from 1 species
UGAUGUAGCUCAGUAGGUAGAGCGCAUCCUUGGUAAGGAUGAGGUCGCCGGUUCGACUCCGGCCAUCA